GUCUAGUUUGUGGCACAGGUAGGCCUAUCACAAAGUCUCUUGACUCUCAGUCCUGUGUUCUUGACCCCACAGAGCUCAACACAAUUUUGACCUGAUUGUCCUUCUAUGAUAAGGAUGGCCUUCCAGUAAGCCAAUGAGUAGAUACUGGGCACUCAAAUAUGCCUAGCGUAGCAAACAUAGGACUAAGGAAGAAAUAAGGGAAAACUAAAAAGAACCUAUAAUGUACUUAUUAAUAGGCCACCAAAUAGAAGUUUUUAGCCUUCAUCCUUAUAAUAAAGUACCAUUUUGAAGAAAUAUCCUAGUACUUUUCCUCAUUUAUGAACUGUAGAUGAUACAGGCUGUCACUAGAUCUGAACAAAACACAUGUGUUCACUUUAGUAUCAUAAAUCUCAUCUUCACUGUGCUAUAUUUUGCUUAUGACUCGUUUACGAGUUGUGCAUCUAUGUUCAUGAAGGAGAUUGUGGUUUUUCUUGAAAUGUGAGGUUCCUGGUCUCGUUAACAGCAAUGCCACAUCCUCCACUGCAGUCUCCGAGUUUGCCCAUUUCUUUGGUUCCAGCCUUCUCUGCUAGGAAGCACAAUGCUGAUGUCUGCAUUGGAACGUGCGGUAUAUUCCAGCAAGGUGGAGGCAAUGAAAGAGCAUGAGAGAAAUCCACCAGUGCUUCAGAUAAAGAAAUGAAAAUUCUUGGGGAAAUGCAAAUGGACACAAAAGCCAUUAAAGAGAACCUCCGUGUCCAUUUCUUGUGAAGACCUUAGGCAUCUUUUUGAAGACGCCCCACCAUAGAUUUCCUGAAGAUUCUCUGGAGGCUCGUUCCUGGCCAUUGCUGACCCUGGACUCAGGUGUAGACGGCCUUGCUUGGCCCCCACGACCGUCCCGCUCUGCCCAUUUCUGUCCGAGAGGCUGAAUGCGAAGCUCGGAGAAGGCGGCCGGCCCUGCUGUCCCAUCAGAGAGGCCUCAGAGGGCCCACAGCCAUUGCCAGGUAGGGUCCCUCCCGGGGCCUUCUGGUUUUCCUCACUCACAGGUGAAGUUGAAGGGAGGGGAUGGGCCAGGCGCAGAACUGAUGCUUUUGUGGUCAAAGUCUUAUGUUUCUCUCCUGGGUGGGGCUCAAGAGGUUUUCCCGAGAACUCUGCACUGUCGGCCUCCAAGCGGGUGCCAGAAUCACGGGUGGCAGAGGAGGGAAAAGUAGACCGUGGAAGGGCCGAGGGUUGAGCCUCACUUGCGUUCAGAUCAGCCGACUCCAAGGACAGGAGGGGUGGGCGCCAGCGGAAAUUCAGCCCAGACGUGAUACUGGGUGCUUCGAGCAUCUGAGGGCUGCCUGGGUCGUCUUGUUCUUCUUUUUCCCAGGCCUUCGUUUGUGUUCUUUUCCUGAUUUCCAUCUUGAGCAGCUUUGGCGCAUCAGGGUUGGCAACUGAGGGGCUAUCCGUCUCUCCCUCCCUAUGUGUGGGGCCUCCCCGGAAUGAGGCUACUGGUCGGUGGCAGGACAGGUGCCCUUGCUGGGACUGGAGGUGUGCUGACCCGGGGAAGAACAAGACCUUGAUCAUGUUCCACCGGGAGAGGAACUCGACGCGCCAGCUCAUGCGGCCGUGGCCUGAGUUGGGAAAUGGCCAACAGGAGUGAGCUGGAGCUGUGCUCAUGGCAGUAGUGUCCAGUGGGAUUCCGGUCAAGUCAGCUGGAGGUUCUGCUGGCAGGGUGGAGGCCAGAGGUAUAGGGGUGUGGGUCAGAGGACUCAGGGAAUGUGCUGGAGUCACGGUGAGAGUAGCACCUGCCACAGGCUUUCCGCAUGGCUGCUGGGCUCUGGCGUAUGCUGUGUUGCUCGCCUCCCCAGGGUAGUCUUGACAUGAUGAGCGAUGGGAGCAUCCCUUGGAAGACAGCCUCCCUGGGGAGCUGCGGGAGACAGGAGGCACCAGCUGCAGCCGGGAGCAGAGGGGCCCGGGACAGCAGGGCAGUCCAGGCGGGGGUGGCCCCUUGGGAGCCAUGGCCCUCCAUGGCCCCACCUCCACUUCACCAAAUUCUCCUGCUCUCCCUCACCGCAGGCCUUUGGCCACCCCUGUCCCCAUGGCUCCCCUCCCAGCUCUGCCCCAAUCUGCCUGCAGCCCUGGGGCCACACCAGAGACUCUGGGAGCAAGAAGUCCGGGAGAGAAGGGCAAGAUCCCUUACCUGUGCGAAAGCGACACCUGGCCCCGCACUUCUGCCAGGCCCUUCCCAGCAGCUCUGGAAGCUAGAAAUCCGGAGACUGGGUCACAGCACUGAAAGCGGGGCGGGGGCGGCGGGGGCGGUGGAUAGGGCUCUUACAGGAGGCUGCGUGCACUGUGCCUUUAGGGGAGUCUGUUGGGAGGUCAGACUGUCGAACCUGGGCACCAGUGUCCAAGGCCACCGGAUCCCUGAUGGGGCUGGCAAGGCUGCUGAUGGGUUGAGCUAUGUCAUUGACCACGCGCUUCCACCUCCACCACAGCCCACAUGCCCCGGCUGGACGAGACCCUGUUCCAGGCCCCUCCUGGCCCGGGCCCUGGUUCCCAGCACAGAAUGUGGCAAGUCCUCAGGUUUUCGUCUCCCUCCCGCAAACCUCCCUGAGUGUUCUGUUUCCUGAGGGACGGGUUCUGCCCCUGGCAUCCUCGAGCCCGUGGAGCUGGGCACUCAGGGACAGGAGAUGGGGGGGCCAGCUCUGGGGCACGGGGCUGAAUGGCAGGAGCUUACCUUUCAAAGCUCCCCUUUUCUUCCUGCUCCUGCUGCUCUUCCCUCUUGGCUCCACUUGACGCUGAAGUGAGAGAAAAAAGAAGCAGCUGUGGGGGCUCCCUCUCCUGUCUCUGGACCAGCCGUGGACACUUAGCGCUUAUGAGGAAGAUGACUGCCUACACUCAGCUCCUGGCGCCCGGGGGUGUUUCUUUCCUUUUACUCAUUUUUGAAGUGGAGACUAGAACAUGAAACGGAUCUUUGGUGUCUUCCUUCUUUGGAGAACGUGAGGAAGGAUGAUUUUCUGUGUGAGACCCACCAUGGAUUUCUUUCAUCACUGUUCCUCUGUUCAAGAAUCACGCACAUUCGCAGACGUCCAGAAGCUUCUGAGCUUCCUCAGGGAGGACUCUGCUUCCCGAGGCCCGAGCCCCACUCCAGACCCUGCCUGGAGGCUCUCGGGGGCUCAGCACUGCCCUCAGAUCAGUCCCGACAGAGGAAAGGCCUGCUCAAGACGCCUGCCCCAGGAAGGCGGUGGGGGAACCAGAGCUCAAGACCUGUCCUCCCACACAGAUCCCACUCAGCAUCCCUUCCUCAGCCUCUGGUCACUGGACUGGGGACUUUCCCUGGAGCCCUCUACCACACCUGGACUCCUGCUCUGAGAUCUUCCGAGGGAAAUCCUCGUGCCCUCUCUAAUCCCUGCUCGCCCAGCCUGGCUUGUCCGUGGAAGGAUGAUGUUGUAUUCUCUGCCAGUUCCGGAGUCCCUCUACUUUGAUUCAGAAUCUUGGAAAUGACAGUGGAACAGAAGAGAGACUCAUCUUCUGGUGGGUCUCUGCCCAGGGUUUCUUACCUUCCUUAUGUUUCUGCGUUCACAAGGUGGUCGUGAGGAUGGAUUCCUCUGCAGGGAGGGAAGGCACAGGAGGAAGAGCCCCAGUCCACACAGGAAGGGGAGGAUGGUCCCAAUCACCCAGGAAGUGGAACUGGAGCUCGGCCAGGUAGCAAAGAGGCUUUUCAGAAACAUGAGAGGAUUCUGCAUGUCUGAAACGCAGUGCUGCCCUCAGGCGACUGAGCUCUGGGAGUGGCUUGGAGAUUAUUACCCCAGGCCCCCAUGACAGAAGUGCGGCCUUGUCACAAAGGGCUCUUGAGGGCUGGGGAGGGGACAGCAGGGGAGCAGGCUGGACCAGAGCCCCUCCCCCACCCUCUAGCCUACGUCUCCCUCCCUCUACCCUCCUGGGCCUUCUAGACCUUAGCUAGUUUUCUAUGUCUUCCCCCUGGAAGCCAGAGGUCACCGGGUUCCUUGCGUCUCCUGGAUUCUUGGUUUGAAGCCAGCUAUCUCAUGGCCUUCGAAAGUCUGAAGUUCUCCCAGGAAUUUGAUCUAGUUCCCAGGGAUUCAUACCCUGAUCCUGCUCUGUCCUCAACUCUGAUUGCUGUUUUCACCUCACCUAGUGACUUUGCGUGUGUGUGUGAGGACACUGAAGUGCCAGUCUCCUAGCUGAUUUCAAUUAUGCAAUUCAGUGUUAUCGACUGUAGUCACCACGCCAGACAUUAGAACCUCCGACGUUUCUCAUCUGAGAGGUGAAAGUUUGUCUCCUUUUACCUGCCUCUCUCUAUUUCCCCCACGCCACAGCCGCUGGCAACCACUUUUCUAUUCUCUGUUUCUAUGAGUUGACCUUUCUUUUAUAGUUUUUCGAGUUCACAUGUAAGUGACCCCAGGCAGUAUCUGUGUUUCUAUGUCUGGCUUGUUUCAUUGAGCAUAACGCCCACCAGGUUCAUCCAUGUUGCACAAAUCUCAACUCCAUUUGUCCACAUAAGGUUUUCGUUUCAUCAAUCUGGAAUUCCCAUUUUAUUUUAUACUUAUUUGGUUUUGAUUAUUAACAUUGUUAUUUUUUCCAUCAACGUUUGCCAUCUUGACUCAGAACGACUCACCCAAAAAUUGAAAUGAAUCAUUUAUUAUUUAACAUAAGCAUAAUAAAUACU
rnacentral:lncRNA from 1 species